rnacentral:rRNA from 1 species
AGAGUUUGAUCCUGGCUCAGGAUGAACGCUAGCGGCAGGCUUAACACAUGCAAGUCGAGGGGUAACAUAAGAGUGCUUGCACUUUUGAUGACGACCGGCGCACGGGUGCGUAACGCGUAUACAAUCUGCCUCAUACUGAGGGAUAGCCCAGAGAAAUUUGGAUUAAUACCUCAUAGUAUUGUUUUAAGGCAUCUUUUAACAAUUAAAGGUUACGGUAUGAGAUGAGUAUGCGUCCUAUUAGCUAGUUGGUGUGGUAACGGCACACCAAGGCGACGAUAGGUAGGGGCCCUGGAGAGGGGGAACCCCCCCACUUGUGGUAUUGAGACCGGGACCAUAUAUCCUGGGGGGAGCCCCCAGUGAAGAAUUUUGGACAAGGGGGGUAAUUUUUUAUCCCCCCUCUGCCGGGUGGAAGAAAGACUCCCCUUAGGGGUUAAAAACUGCUUUUAAGGGGGAAAACACCUCUCUUACGUGUAGAGACUUGGCGGUCCCGUAAGAAUAAGCUUGGGAAAAUUCCGUGCCAGCAGCCGCGGUAAUACGGAGGAUGCAAGCGUUAUCCGGAAUCAUUGGGUUUAAAGGGUCCGUAGGCGGAUUAAUAAGUCAGAGGUGAAAUCCUGCAGCUUAACUGUAGAACUGCCUUUGAUACUGUUAGUCUUGAGUUAUUGUGAAGCGGUUAGAAUAUGUAGUGUAGCGGUGAAAUGCAUAGAUAUUACAUAGAAUACCAAUUGCGAAGGCAGAUCGCUAACAAUAUACUGACGCUGAUGGACGAAAGCGUGGGGAGCGAACGGGAUUAGAUACCCCGGUAGUCCACGCCGUAAACGAUGGUCACUAGCUGUUCGGUUUCGACUGAGUGGCUAAGCGAAAGUGAUAAGUGACCCACCUGGGGAGUACGUUCGCAAGAAUGAAACUCAAAGGAAUUGACGGGGGCCCGCACAAGCGGUGGAGCAUGUGGUUUAAUUCGAUGAUACGCGAGGAACCUUACCAGGGCUUAAAUGUAGAGUGACAGGUCUAGAGAUAGACUUUUCUUCGGACACUUUACAAGGUGCUGCAUGGUUGUCGUCAGCUCGUGCCGUGAGGUGUCAGGUUAAGUCCUAUAACGAGCGCAACCCCUGUCGUUAGUUGCCAUCAGGUCAUGCUGGGAACUCUAACGAGACUGCCGGUGCAAACCGAGAGGAAGGUGGGGAUGACGUCAAAUCAUCACGGCCCUUACGUCCU